UUUGAAAACUAGCUAGAUAGA
rnacentral:snRNA from 1 species